rnacentral:rRNA from 1 species
UACGGAGGGGGCUAGCGUUGUUCGGAAUUAUUGGGCGUAAAGAGCUCGUAGGCGGUGUGUCGCGUCGGCCGUGAAAACCUGCAGCUUAACUGUGGGCUUGCGGUCGAUACGGGCAUCACUGGAGUUCGGCAGGGGAGACUGGAAUUCCUGGUGUAGCGGUGAAAUGCGCAGAUAUCAGGAGGAACACCGGUGGCGAAGGCGGGUCUCUGGGCCGAUACUGACGCUGAGGAGCGAAAGCGUGGGGAGCGAACAGG